rnacentral:rRNA from 1 species
GUCGAGCGGCAGCACAAGUGAGUUUACUCAUGAGGUGGCGAGCGGCGGACGGGUGAGUAAUGCCUAGGGAUCUGCCCAGUCGAGGGGGAUAACAGUUGGAAACGACUGCUAAUACCGCAUACGCCCUACGGGGGAAAGGAGGGGACCUUCGGGCCUUCCACGAUUGGAUGAACCUAGGUGGGAUUAGCUAGUUGGUGAGGUAAUGGCUCACCAAGGCGACGAUCCCUAGCUGUUCUGAGAGGAUGAUCAGCCACACUGGGACUGAGACACGGCCCAGACUCCUACGGGAGGCAGCAGUGGGGAAUAUUGCACAAUGGGGGAAACCCUGAUGCAGCCAUGCCGCGUGUGUGAAGAAGGCCUUCGGGUUGUAAAGCACUUUCAGUAGGGAGGAAAGGUUGUAAGUUAAUACCUUGCAGCUGUGACGUUACCUACAGAAGAAGGACCGGCUAACUCCGUGCCAGCAGCCGCGGUAAUACGGAGGGUCCAAGCGUUAAUCGGAAUUACUGGGCGUAAAGCGUGCGCAGGCGGUUGAUUAAGCGAGAUGUGAAAGCCCCGGGCUCAACCUGGGAAUUGCAUUUCGAA